rnacentral:lncRNA from 1 species
AGAAGAUCCCAGUGGAUGUCUGCGGGCUGUACCCAUCCGGGAAAACCUUCCGAGGCAGAGCUGAGGCCAGGCUGUGCCAGUUCAACAGCUUUGCUAUUGACCUGGAUGCAUCUAAGAUGGCCUGUGCUGAGUUUAGGGGUCAGACUGGCAGGAACGGCUGCUUCUCCACCGAGGUGCCGGCCACUUCCUUCAAGCUGAGCAACUGGGACUAUGGGCAUCAGCUCCAUGCUUUUGUGUCGCUGCUGGAGGAGGGCACUGGGAUGCAGCGUGCAGCGAACAAGAGCUGUGAGAUUGUGGAUAAAGAUAUCAUCAUCACAUUUGAAAGCAGUGAUAGAUUCUACAAGCCUGGGGUCCCCUACACUGGGACGAUGCUGUUGAAGGGAGUUAAUGGCUCUGCCCUAACGGAGAAGGAGCUCCUGGUGAUGGUUAAUACUGGUGGAAUCCAAGU